CCUACGGGAGGCAGCAGUGGGGAAUCUUCCGCAAUGGACGAAAGUCUGAUGGAGCAACGCCGCGUGAGUGAAGAAGGUUUUCGGAUCGUAAAACUCUGUUGUUGGAGAAGAACGUAUUUGAUAGUAACUGAUCAGGUAGUGACGGU
rnacentral:rRNA from 1 species